rnacentral:misc_RNA from 1 species
UUAACUUCACUUUUCAAAUUGUUGAGGUCAGAUUUGUACUCUCUUAAUUUAGCUAGAAGGACAGCCUUGACAUUAGGCGGCAAACUUCUGGCCUCAAGAUCCAUUUUUCGAAUCAGAGCUUCUGCUUCAUCAAUUCCUGCCUUUACUUCAGAAACCUUUUGCUUCUUUUGCUCUCCAUUUAGGGCACUAGCCGAAGUGCACUUUCUUGAAAGGUUCGCCGAAAGCUCGCAGUAUUGCCGUUCGUAUCCUUCGAACACCUCACUCAUCGUGCCCAAACCCAAUUCAAUAAGAGAUGGGGAAGCCCAGAGGGAAA